UGGGGAAUCUUCCGCAAUGGGCGAAAACCUGACGGAGCAACGCCGCGUGAUCGAAUGAAGGCCUUCGGGUUGUAAAGAUCUGUUGACAGGGACGAAUAAGCAAUGCGAAUAGUUUUGUGUAUGACGGUACCUGUUUAGAAAGCUCCGGCUAACUACGUGCCAGCAGCCGCGGUAAUACGUAGGGAGCAAGCGUUGUCCGGAAUUACUGGGCGUAGAGGGCGCGUAGGUGGGCGCUUAAGUCAGGUGUGAAAACUCCGGGCUCAACCUGGAGACUGCACUUGAAACUGGGUGUCUUGAGGGCAGGAGAGGAAAGUGGAAUUCCUAGUGUAGCGGUGAAAUGCGUAGAUAUUAGGAGGAACACCAGUGGCGAAGGCGACUUUCUGGACUGUACCUGACGCUGAGGCGCGAAAGCGUGGGUAGCGAACGGG
rnacentral:rRNA from 1 species